UUUAGUUAUUAUAUAGCGCUCAGCAUUUCCAGUUGGCACUUUUAAGAUUACGUUCGUGUUUACCGGGAUGCCAGGGUUUAAAGGCAGGUUUGUUAAAGACUCUCUGGUUAUAAAAAUUGAAGGAUUAGAUAAAGGAAGAAGCAAUCGAAAAACAAAACAGAUUUAUAACAUGUGACGAAACAAAUGGUGUGCCAGUAAGUGACUUAGAUUACAGUUAUCAUUAUCAUAGAGUUAUGGCUGUGACGGUGAGAAUAUUCAUGUUGUUAGAGAAGAAAAGACAUAUUCGGUUUAGGAAGAUGAGAAAAUAAAUCAGUGGAGAGUGGGCAGACGUGUAGUUGAGCUUGGGGUUCUUGCGGAUGGUCUAAGCAGUUGUCAGUUAUGCGGACAGCCACUGCAAUUGUCAAAUUGUGUAGGGGAACUCAAAAUUCGGCCUUGCACAUGUAGCCCUACUACUUGUCAAGUGCAAAGUUACAGACUUUGGGCUAGUAUUGAAGAGGCAACAGGAAGCAAACACCAGACUUCAAAUGGCAGAAAUGCAUGUGAUGUAAAUACCAAACUAGCAGCAGGUAAUCUGAAUUUCAUUACAUGGUUUAUUCACAUAUUCAAAUUGGAUCAUGAAUAAUAAAAGGAGGAUUUGCCGAUUUGGUGAAACACAUGUAAAUUCACUCCUGGCUGCUUUAAACAUACCCAGCGUUUCUCAGAUAACUCUGAAGAAUAGAGGAAGAGAGGUCGGGCAACAAUUUGGACAAAUGACAGGGGAAACUUGUAAUGAAAGUGUGCAGGAGGAGAUGAGAUUGUAAUUGUUGUAUGCCAUUUUCUAGCAAUACAUGACCUAGUUAUAUUUUCAUUUGCAAUUAUUUUUUUAAAAAUUAUGUCGUUAAUUAAAAAUUUUAUUGUUUAAGAGUGAAGGGAGUCUGGCGUUUAUAUCUGAUGGUGCUUGGCAGAAGAGGGGUACCUGGAGAGCUUAUAAUAGUCUUACAGGACUUGCCUCUCUGUUGGAGAAAAAUCGAAGAAAAUAGUCGUUUUUCAGGGGAAAAAAAGUAUGGUAUGUGCAGCUGCCAAAUUAAAGGGUAAUCCUCCCAGGCAACACAAGUGCUGUAAGAACUCAACUGGAUCGGUGAAGGCUAUGAAGCCUCAGCCUGCCAUGGCCUGCGAGAUGUUGGAGAAGAUCGAGAAUGUAGGGGGAAAGGUAGAUACUGUGAUUAUGGACAAAGACUCAACUACCAUGGCAAGAGAAAAAGAUAAUGUUGAUCCCAAUAUGAGCAAAAGAUCCGACAGUAAUCACACGAAGAAGGGAUUUACGGGUGCAUUAGUAGAACUGAGCAGCAAGCAUAAAGUUUUAAGUUGUAACAUAACUUUAUCUAUAUCCUGUGCUGGUAUUACUGAAGUAAAAGCAGUAUUAAAUUGUUUGUAUUUGAGUGCAUGCCUGUAAAGAAGAAUGUUGCAUUGGUUUAGCCAUAUUUGUACAUGUACGGACAUGUUUUAAUUAUUGAUGAGUUGUCAAAAAAUGCAUUUAAAAGAUUUUUUUAAAAACAAAUUUACUUGUUAUGUUUUAUAAUGCAUGAAAAUGAUAUUUGAGUGUGAUUUUUCUUUUAAAUAUGUUUGUUACUGAUAUUUUUGAGUUGAAUUUGUUUGAUCGGCAAGGGGGGUAUACAUGAUCUAGAAGGUGUAGAAAAAUAAAAAGCCUGAAAAGUACUAAUUUUUUUUGGCUUUUUAGUUGCAACAGAUAUUAAUCUAAUAUUUUAAAUGAAAAAAGAAUGUGUUUAUCCAUUACUUUAUGAAAAAAUGUGUAAAAAUGACGAUAUUGUAAAAAAUUUUAAAGCACCAAAUUGAUAUCAUAUUCCAAAAAAAAGUUAUAUUAUAAAAUAAAUAUUCAUAUAUGAGACUGGUUAUGCCUUUCCUACAUAUUAAUGAAUAAACAACUACAUUUGAAAGUAAUUUUGCUUUUAUAUUGCUUUUGAUAUGAGCCAUAUAUUGAGCGUGGAUGAAAUAGUGUCGUGAAAGAAGGGGGUAUACGUCAUCGAGGCACUCUAAUUUGAAAAAUAACAUGAAAAGUUAUUUAUUUUUUAUGCUUUUUAUUUAGA